UCCUCCUACGGGCGGCAGCAGUGGGGAAUAUUGCACAAUGGGGGAAACCCUGAUGCAGCGACGCCGCGUGAAGGACGAAGCAUUUCGGUACGUAAACUUCUAUCAGCAGGGAAGAAAAUGACGGUACCUGACCAAGAAGCCCCUGCUAACUACGUGCCAGCAGCCGCGGUAAUACGUAGGGGGCGAGCGUUAUCCGGAUUUACUGGGUGUAAAGGGAGCGUAGACGGCCAUGCAAGUCUGAUGUGAAAACACGGGGCUCAACCC
rnacentral:rRNA from 1 species